rnacentral:rRNA from 1 species
CGCUGGCGGCGUGCUUAACACAUGCAAGUCGAACGAUGAACCUCACUUGUGGGGGGAUUAGUGGCGAACGGGUGAGUAACACGUGAGUAACCUGCCCUUGACUCUGGGAUAAGCCUGGGAAACCGGGUCUAAUACUGGAUACGACCUUCCCGCGCAUGCGGUGUUGGUGGAAAGCUUUUGUGGUUUUGGAUGGACUCGCGGCCUAUCAGCUUGUUGGUGGGGUAAUGGCCUACCAAGGCGACGACGGGUAGCCGGCCUGAGAGGGUGACCGGCCACACUGGGACUGAGACACGGCCCAGACUCCUACGGGAGGCAGCAGUGGGGAAUAUUGCACAAUGGGCGCAAGCCUGAUGCAGCGACGCCGCGUGAGGGAUGAAGGCCUUCGGGUUGUAAACCUCUUUCAGUAGGGAAGAAGCCGGCCUUCGGGUUGGUGACGGUACCUGCAGAAGAAGCGCCGGCUAACUACGUGCCAGCAGCCGCGGUAAUACGUAGGGCGCAAGCGUUAUCCGGAAUUAUUGGGCGUAAAGAGCUCGUAGGCGGUUUGUCGCGUCUGCCGUGAAAGUCCGGGGCUUAACCCCGGAUCUGCGGUGGGUACGGGCAGACUAGAGUGCAGUAGGGGAGACUGGAAUUCCUGGUGUAGCGGUGAAAUGCGCAGAUAUCAGGAGGAACACCGAUGGCGAAGGCAGGUCUCUGGGCUGUAACUGACGCUGAGGAGCGAAAGCAUGGGGAGCGAACAGGAUUAGAUACCCUGGUAGUCCAUGCCGUAAACGUUGGGCACUAGGUGUGGGGGACAUUCCACGUUUUCCGCGCCGUAGCUAACGCAUUAAGUGCCCCGCCUGGGGAGUACGGCCGCAAGGCUAAAACUCAAAGGAAUUGACGGGGGCCCGCACAAGCGGCGGAGCAUGCGGAUUAAUUCGAUGCAACGCGAAGAACCUUACCAAGGCUUGACAUGAACCGGAAUGAUGCAGAGAUGUGUCAGCCACUGUGGCCGGUACAGG